UUGGCGUGAAAGUUUUAUCCAAGGGCAUUUGAGAUUCAGAAGAUACAGAAAGAAGGUUCCUCGGAGCCCCCUCGCCACUAAAAGCAGCUGCUUCUGGGAGUCAGGCUGCCAUGGAUCCUCCUGGGGACUUUAUAGCGGUCUUGGAUUGGCACCGCCUGAUCCCCCUCACCUGGGCCCGCAUCUCUGGGCCGGCUCCUCCUCUUGGACCGAGAAGGAUGACGGCUUCCUUGUUGCGUAGACUGACCACAGCCUCCAGUGGAGGGGGCCUUGAGGAGUUACCCUGUGUUGAACCCCGGAAGUAUGUGCAGGAACCAGAGUGCAGGACGAAUCUGACUCAGGGCCUCCUUGAGAAGCAGGGGCCUCCUGUGGACGGGGGGUCUUUGGAGCAAGAGGAGGUCAUCCGUUCCCUCCUGGACAUGGGUUUCAGUGAUGUCCAUAUUAAGGAACUGCUCGGGGUCCGACGAGGUGCCCCCCCGCGACAGUUGCUGGACGUCAUAUCGGAACUGGUCCUCUUGGGCGUGCAUCCAGAGCCCGUGUGUGCGGUCUUGAAGAAAAGCCCUCAGCUACUGAAACUGCCUGUAAUGCAGGUGAAGAAGCGCUCCAGCUACCUGCGAAAGCUUGGGCUCGGAGAAGGGAGACUGAAGAGGGUGCUUCUCUGCUGCCCCGAAGUCCUCACCAUGCGCCAGCGGGACCUCGACGGCACCGUCAGGGUGCUCAGGGACAAGUGCCUUUUCACGGCACAGCAAGUGACAGAGAUUCUGCACAGGUGCCCCUUCGUCCUUCGGGAGGACCCCGGCGAGCUGGAGUACAAAUUCCAGUAUGCCUACUUUAGGAUGGGGGUGAGACACGCGGAUGUGGUGAGGACCGACUUCCUGCAGUACUCCAUCGCCAAGAUCAGGCAGAGACACACGUUCCUGGAGCGCCUGGGACGCUACCAAACUCCGGACAAGAAGGGGCAGACGCAGGUCCCCAACCCUCCCCUCAAGGACAUCCUCAGAGUUUCCGAAGCCGAGUUUCUAGCCAAGACGGCUUGUUCUUCUGCUGAGGAGUUUGAAGUGUUUAAGAAGCUCUUGGCUCGGGAGGAGGAGGAAGACGCGGAGAGCCACAUGCCUGGUGACGAAAGCAUAAGCGACGAGGAGGACGAGGACGACGAGGACCAGCACGAGGAGGGGAGGGAGCUGUGACGGAGGGCUGCAGUGAGAAGGACCCGGACGCCAGAGAAUAUCUUAAUUCUUUAGAGCUUUUGAGAGCUUCACUCAGACCUUCUCAGGCUCACAUUCGAGCACGACUGCAAAGAGAAGGACGAUUUUCGCAAAAGCCAAGCAGCUGCGUGAAUCCCUCGGCAGCUUUCUGUGGUUCGCCGGCGGGGCGAGGGUGCUGGGCUGGCGGCACUGCGUGUGUCUGUGCCUGUUGGGCUCGCUCAUGGGGAGCAGGGCUGCAGCCUGGGUUUCUUCGCGGGCCUCUGUGACAGCCACGUGCAGUGGGCAAAGGGGCUUUGGGUCGUCACUGUCUCUCUUAGCCGUGGACAAACUUGUUUGGAAAUGAAGACAUUUCGCUCUGUGCCAGUGUUUUCCCUUACUCUUGCAUUUCGUGGCGUCCAGGUGACCAUCGCUUCCUGGAAGCUGUCUGUCCUGAGCCCAGCCAGGGGACCUAGAGGGCUGACAUCCACGCCGGGCUGGACAGUUAGUUCAUCCCAGCUGGGUCCACGGGAGGCUAACUCCGCAGCUCACGAUCACUCCCCUUUCAUUUUGACACAGGGAACAUUUUGGAUUCCUUGGGUAGAUGCUGAGUAUCUUCAAGGACGACAUCAGGGUUUUAAGGAGCCCAGCGAUAAAAGCAGCGGCUCACUUGGAGCGUUUCAGGGGUGGAUGGUAAUUCCUUUAGCCUCAGGCAGUUUGUACGAGGCGUCUGAUGUGUGAGCCACCACAGCGGGUCGGUGAUGAGACCGCACCGUGCGGAGCUCGGGGUCCAGUGGCCUCCCAGAGAAACGCGCCUCUGGACUGAGACCUGGCGCACGUGCGCGUCUGCCUCGUGGCCAAGGUGUCGAGGUUGUUAAUGUGGUCAAAGGAAGUUUCUUCUACUUUCCAGUGACGUCACUUGAUUUUGCCGUUGGCUAGUGAUGCUGUAGCCACACAGGCGCACAGUGACAGGUCCCGGCGCCGUGGCGGACUCGGCGGCAGUGCUUGUGUGCAUAGUUUUCUCGUUUCACCUGGGUGGGCCCUGGAGACCGGGGACACUCGCGUUCAGUGGACUUCUCGGAAUGACUAUUCCUCCUUCCUGAAAACGACAGAUUGCGUAAUACACAGACGUGCACACGCAGUUUUAAUAAAACGUCUGAAACAUAAUUCUUCAAAACCUGUAUCCAUGAAAGAGGAAAGGAAGGAGCCCUUCUGUGGCUGUAAUGCUGCCUUGGGCGGAGUCCGUAGGGGACACUAGGGGCUUGAGCCCCAGCCGGUGAGCGGUGAAAAUGCUCAACACCAGGCAGGGGUGGGGCGGUGUCUCUGGUCUCGACCCCAUGUGCAGGGGGAGGAGCUCCUGGGACGCUGGGCCAUGGCAAGGGGCGGUGGCAUCCCGCUGGCAAAGACACGCCGAGUAUAGAUGCGGCUCCCUGCCGGACACCUAAAACAGUGUCGCUCGAGUGCUGGGCUUAGAGAAAUCUGGACGUUUUCUUGCUGAGCCCGCCCCAGUUGUCCUCCAUCAUCCAGGCCUGUCAGGAGGCCUUGAUGCCACCAGGUGGCUUUCUGCCUGGAGUUUGUGUGUGCUUCUGUGACAUUCCAGGGUUGUUGGUGCCUUGGUGUGGCUUGUCACCUGAGGAUGGCUUUCUCUGUAAGGCCGAAGCCUGAUUGGGGGUUUGCCAAGUAUGGCCCAUGGGACAUGGUCCCUAUUUUUGUAAAUAAAGUUUUAUUGAGACACAGCCAUACCCGGUCAGAGCGGGGUCGUUGUCAUGGGGACCAUCUUCCACAAAGCCAGAAGAAGCUGUCGGCUGGACGUCUCUGGAUGCUUUCUCAGUAGUGUUUUCAUUGUUGAC